CUUGUCCAGCUGUUGUGUGGUGCUCGUUUUAUACAAUUAUGAUCACUUUUCCCUUCUGCUAUAGAAAACGGAAGGAGAUUCAGACAGCUCUUCCACUUCCUCCCACCCCCUCUCUGGAUUUGCUUCUCAGACUUCCUGCUUCUGCGCUGCAAACCCCGGCAUUACCUCAUGGCUCAUCUCGGCUCACGUUCUAAUACAGACCCAACCUAAGUAAGCCAAAAUCCUACUCGUGACUGCUGAGGAUGCCUAGAAGCUACUGUACUUGUUAGCUGGGCACCAAAGGCUUACCAGCUGCUUCCUGGAGAAGGUGGAGCAUGUAGAAAUCCUGCUGGGUGAUGGAAAAGAGCUGGCACAGCUGAUGAACCUCGAGGGCCAAGGAAGUCUCAGCGCACCACCACCUGUGCAAGCGGAGGAAGGAAAGUGCUGCGGCGCGGGGACUAACAACUUCUGGGUCUCACUGCUGCCGCGGCUGCAGAUCUGCACCGACUUCUGCAGCCCGCCACGCGGCACGUCAGGAACAUGUCAGCACUUGUUCAAAACAGCAUGUGAGAAGGUACUUCCCCUUAAUAUUUAACCAAAAGGUUUCUGUGUUUCGAAAAAUAAAGAAGGCUAAGGCAUAGAUACAAAAACACAUCCCGCACAUUUUAUCCUACUUUAAGCACCCGUGUGUUUAAAACAGAACUUGAGAGCUGAUUAGGUGUUACAAAUAAACUUGGGGCCGUAACACUGAGGAGCACUGAACUCCAAAUACGACAGGAAGUCUCUGCCCAAAGUCUCAUUCUUUCUUCUUAAAAGACACGCAGCUCCGGAACGUCACGUGGCAUGAAGAAGAUCCCUCACAAGGAGAUCUGCAGAUCCCGCCCAGGAUCCGACCACUGCAGUGAUAAGACCCCACCUGACAAGGAGCUGUCCUCAGUGAGAGCCGACAGUCACAGGCGUCAUGUUGGCUUCCUUUCUCACACCGGCACAAUCUCAACAACUUUUGAUAUGCCCACAUCCCACGUGUACAAUUAGUGACAAUGUUUUCUUCAAAUCAACUCACUUUCUAAAACCUGAAAUACCUCAUUUAAGCUUGACCUAAGUAACAGAGAAACUUAACAUGCCAGUGACAUUUUGAAUACAUAUUAAAACAUGUAAAUAUUUAAAUAAAACUGUGCCCAUGCCCCACCUAGAAACACCAUACUUACUGCAGGGCUAAGUGUUCUAGCCAUUAGAAAGUAUGUCCUCUCCCAACUUCUCUAACAAAAGAAAUUUUGAAGAAUGAUUUUUGAAAUUGCUCAUAAAUACGUUAAAAUUCUGAGGCCUGUUCCCAAGACAACUUAAAAAAUAGCACGUUUAACUUUCUAAUCCCUAAAAUUCUACUGUGCUUGAUUUACUGUAAAAAUGGCACCUAUAAGGAAAGCAGUGUAUGAAGGAACAACAGGCUGUGUCUGAUCCCGCUCACAGGACUUCCUUAAAGGAAGCCACACUGUACACAACCCUUGACGGUGCCACGUUGAAUAACCCGUCAGCUGUUUUCUGGUUGCGUAGCUUGCACGCGUGCGUAACUCUUCUGCACUCUAACACUGAGCUGUGAAUGCCUCUGCCGCACAGACGCACGGGCUUACUCCACUUCUGCUUCCGCACUGAGCCCUUCUUGGUGCUCCGUCCCAGGCAGCACCGAAUGCGUACUGUGAAGAACAAAAUCAGCACAAGCCAAACCUGGUUGCCACAGCAAACUGUUAUUUGUAUUAAAGAAAAAUGACCUUUA